UGCACCACUUAAAUUUCCUGGCUCCGGGCUACGAGGGUAGGUGUCCAGAGGCUGGGACCUGGGCAAACACAGGACCCAGGGAUCCAGGCCAGGAAAGCACAUGUCAGCAGGCAGGAGGGGCGCCCAGGACCGGGCUCUGCUUCUCCUGGGUCCUACUGUAAAAGGGACGCUGAGGCUCACUGCCCACCACCUGCCAUCCAGACUGACACUGCUCACAGCCUGGACAGGGAGAGGAUGCCAGAGGAGAGCCAUGUCCAUGGAAAUGGCAUCCCCUAGAAUUUGAGGCUCUCAAGCUUUCUACACCUACUGUGUCUGUCCGGCGGGAAUGUUACAUGAGAGUGUGCCACUUACACGUCUUGUCCCAAGUCUGCAUUCAGCGACGUCAAGUUGGUACCUUGAACUUGGCCACAGCAGGAAUACUGACACCACAGGAAUCAAUAAAUUCUACCAAGCAGGGCUUUUUGCCCCCAA